rnacentral:rRNA from 1 species
GCAUCCUUUCGGGUACAUCUGCCGAAACCUUAGUGGAUUGAUUAGGCGACUCUAAACAAGUAUGAUCCUCGGGGCAUGCCUCGAGCACUAGCCCUCCCUCGUGGAUGGCGA